UGGACAAAGCUGCUGAGCCUGUGUUGUGA
rnacentral:piRNA from 1 species